rnacentral:misc_RNA from 1 species
UUUCCGUAGGUGAACCUGCGGAAGGAUCAUUAAAGAAUCGCCCCGUUUUUUAUAAAUGGGUACUAUUCCCAAACCGUGUAUACAUACCUUUGUUGCUUUGGCAGGCCGCCUCCGGGCGUCGGCUCCGGCUGAUAGUGACUGCCAGAUGACCCAAACUCUGUGUUUAGUGAUGACUGAGUACUAUAUAAUAGUUAAAACUUUCAACAACGGAUCUCUUGGUUCUG